AGUGAACGCUGGCGGUAGGCCUAACACAUGCAAGUCGAGCGGCAGCACAGUAAGAGCUUGCUCUUACGGGUGGCGAGUGGCGGACGGGUGAGGAAUACAUCGGAAUCUACUUUUUCGUGGGGGAUAACGUAGGGACACUGACGCUAAUACCUCAUACGAUCUACGGGUGAAAGCAGGGGAUCUUCAGACCUUUCGCGAUUGAAUGAGCCGAUGUCGGAUUAGCUAGUUGGCGGGGUAAAGGCCCACCAAGGCGACGAUACGUAGCUGGUCUGAGAGGAUGAUCAGCCACACUGGAACUGAGACACGGUCCAGACUCCUACGGGAGGCAGCAGUGGGGAAUAUUGCACAAAGGGCGAAAGCCUGAUCCAGCCAUACCGCGUGGGUGAAGAAGGUCUUCGGGUUGUAAAACUCUUUUGUUGGGGAAGAAAAGAAGCAGAUUAAUACCUGGCUGUUCUGACGGUACCCAAAGAAAAAGCACCGGCUAACUUCGUG
rnacentral:rRNA from 1 species